rnacentral:rRNA from 1 species
UACGUAGGGUCCGAGCGUUAAUCGGAAUUACUGGGCGUAAAGCGUGCGCAGGCGGUUCUGUAAGUCAGAUGUGAAAUCCCCGGGCUCAACCUGGGAACUGCGUUUGAAACUACAGGGCUAGAGUAUGGGAGAGGGAGGUAGAAUUCCACGUGUAGCAGUGAAAUGCGUAGAGAUGUGGAGGAAUACCAAUGGCGAAGGCAGCCUCCUGGCCUAAUACUGACGCUCAUGCACGAAAGCGUGGGGAGCAAACAGG